UACGUAGGGUGCAAGCGUUGUCCGGAAUUACUGGGCGUAAAGAGCUCGUAGGUGGUUUGUCACGUCGUCUGCGAAAUUCCACAGCUUAACUGUGGGCGUGCAGGCGAUACGGGCUGACUUGAGUACUGUAGGGGUAACUGGAAUUCCUGGUGUAGCGGUGAAAUGCGCAGAUAUCAGGAGGAACACCGAUGGCGAAGGCAGGUUACUGGGCAGUUACUGACGCUGAGGAGCGAAAGCA
rnacentral:rRNA from 1 species